rnacentral:rRNA from 1 species
AUGAGUUUCUACAGCCUCCAUGAAUCUCUCCAUAAGGAGAUCGCCACAAUUCAGUCCCGAUUCUACUGGGCUGGCGAGCAUGGCAAGCAGAAGUAUCACAUGGUCAGCUGGCCUGACAUCUGCAAGCCCAGGGAGCAGGGUGGCUUGGGUAUCAUGUGCUCUAAACGGAUGAAUAUUGCCCUUCUAUCUCGGUGGCUGUGGCGCAUCGCGCAGGGUCAUGGUGGCCUCUGGCUGGACAUUAUC